rnacentral:rRNA from 1 species
GAUGAACGCUGGCGGCGUGCUUAACACAUGCAAGUCGAACGAUUAAACCGCCCUCGGGCGGACAUAGAGUGGCGAACGGGUGAGUAACACGUGACCAACCUGCCCCGCGCUCCGGGACAACCGCUGGAAACGGCGGCUAAUACCGGAUACUCCGGGAGGGCCCCAUGGCCCUGCCGGGAAAGCCGAGACGGCGCGGGAUGGGGUCGCGGCCCAUUAGGUAGACGGCGGGGUAACGGCCCACCGUGCCCGCGAUGGGUAGCCGGACUGAGAGGUCGACCGGCCACAUUGGGACUGAGAUACGGCCCAGACUCCUACGGGAGGCAGCAGUGGGGAAUUUUGCGCAAUGGGGGAAACCCUGACGCAGCAACGCCGCGUGCGGGACGAAGGCCCUCGGGUUGUAAACCGCUUUCAGCAGGGAAGAUCCAAGACGGUACCUGCAGAAGAAGCUCCGGCUAACUACGUGCCAGCAGCCGCGGUAAUACGUAGGGGGCGAGCGUUAUCCGGAUUCAUUGGGCGUAAAGCGCGCGUAGGCGGCCGCCUAAGCGGGACCUCUAACCCCGGGGCUCAACCCCGGGCCGGGUCCCGGACUGGGCGGCUCGAGUGCGGUAGAGGAGAGCGGAAUUCCCGGUGUAGCGGUGGAAUGCGCAGAUAUCGGGAAGAACACCGAUGGCGAAGGCAGCUCUCUGGGCCGUCACUGACGCUGAGGCGCGAAAGCUGGGGGAGCGAACAGGAUUAGAUACCCUGGUAGUCCCAGCCGUAAACGAUGGGCGCUAGGUGUGGGGGGACGAUCCCUCCGUGCCGCAGCCAACGCAUUAAGCGCCCCGCCUGGGGAGUACGGCCGCAAGGCUAAAACUCAAAGGAAUUGACGGGGGCCCGCACAAGCAGCGGAGCAUGUGGCUUAAUUCGAAGCAACGCGAAGAACCUUACCAGGGCUUGACAUGCCGAUGAAGCCGGGGAGACCCGGUGGCCGAGAGGAGUCGGCGCAGGUGGUGCAUGGCUGUCGUCAGCUCGUGUCGUGAGAUGUUGGGUUAAGUCCCGCAACGAGCGCAACCCCCGCCCCGUGUUGCCAGCAUUCGGUUGGGGACUCGCGGGGGACUGCCGGCGUCAAGCCGGAGGAAGGUGGGGACGACGUCAAGUCAUCAUGCCCCUUAUGCCCUGGGCUGCACACGUGCUACAAUGGCCGGUACAGAGGGUUGCCACCCCGCGAGGGGGAGCGGAUCCCGGAAAGCCGGUCCCAGUUCGGAUCGCAGGCUGCAACCCGCCUGCGUGAAGCCGGAGUUGCUAGUAAUCGCGGAUCAGCACGCCGCGGUGAAUACGUUCCCGGGCCU